GAUGAACGCUGGCGGCGUGCUUAACACAUGCAAGUCGAACGGAGUUAUCUGGAAGCUUGCUUCCUGAUAACUUAGUGGCGGACGGGUGAGUAACGCGUGGGUGACCUGCCUUAUACUGGGGGAUAACACUUAGAAAUAGGUGCUAAUACCGCAUAAGCGCACAGUCCUGCAUGGGACAGUGUGAAAAACUCCGGUGGUAUAAGAUGGACCCGCGUCUGAUUAGCUAGUUGGUGAGGUAACGGCUCACCAAGGCGACGAUCAGUAGCCGGUCUGAGAGGAUGAACGGCCACAUUGGGACUGAGAUACGGCCCAGACUCCUACGGGAGGCAGCAGUGGGGAAUAUUGGGCAAUGGGGGAAACCCUGACCCAGCAACGCCGCGUGAAGGAAGAAGGCCUUCGGGUUGUAAACUUCUUUUACCAGGGACGAAUAAAUGACGGUACCUGGAGAAAAAGCAACGGCUAACUACGUG
rnacentral:rRNA from 1 species